GAUGAAGAACGCAGCGAAAUGCGAUAAGUAAUGUGAAUUGCAGAAUUCAGUGAAUCAUCGAAUCUUUGAACGCACAUUGCGCCCUCUGGUAUUCCGGGGGGCAUGCCUGUUCGAGCGUCAUUAUAACCACUCAAGCUCUCGCUUGGUAUUGGAGUUCGCGAUCUCGCGGCUCCUAAAAUCAGUGGCGGUGCCUGUCGGCUCUACGCGUAGUAAUACUCUUCGCGAUUGAGUCCGGUAGGUUUACUUGCCAGCAACCCCCAAUUUUUACAGGUUGACCUCGGAUCAGGUAGGGAUACCCGCUGAACUUAAGCAUAUCAAUAAGCGGAGGA
rnacentral:misc_RNA from 1 species